CGGUUGAUCCUGCCGGAGGCCAUUGCUAUUGGAGUCCGAUUUAGCCAUGCUAGUCGCACGAAUUCAGACUCGUGGCGAACAGCUCAGUAACACGUGGCCAAUCUCCCCCACAGCGGCGGACACCCUCGGGAAACUGAGGCCAAUCCGCCAUACACCUCUCACGCUGGAGUGCCGAGAGGCUCAAACGCUCUUCGGAGUGCUGUGGGAUGAGGCUGCGGCCGAUUAGGUAGACGGUGGGGUAACGGCCCACCGUGCCCAUAAUCGGUACGGGUCGUGAAAGCGAGAACCCGGAGACGGAAUCUGAGACAAGAUUCCGGGCCCUACGGGGCGCAGCAGGCGCGAAACCUUUACACUGCACGCCAGUGCGAUAAGGGGACUCCAAGUGCGAGGGCAUAUCGUCCUCGCUGUCCUGUACUGUAGGGUAGUACAGAAGCAAGGGCUGGGCAAGACCGGUGCCAGCCGCCGCGGUAAUACCGGCAGCCCAAGUGAUGGCCACUCUUAUUGGGCCUAAAGCGUCCGUAGCCGGCCUCGCAAGUCCGUCGGGAAAUCCAUACGCUCAACGUAUGGGCGUCCGGCGGAAACUGCCAGGCUUGGGACCGGAAGGCUCGAGGGGUACGUCCGGGGUAGGAGUGAAAUCCUAUAAUCCCGAACGGACCACCGAUGGCGAAAGCACCUCGAGAAAACGGAUCCGACGGUGAGGGACGGAAGCCAGGGUCUCGAACCGGAUUAGAUACCCGGGUAGUC
rnacentral:rRNA from 1 species